GAUUGCUGGACGCAGGCUAAAAAGAGAUUAGUCUGUAAAAGGAAGCAUUUUGGAAAUGAUUGAGACCAUCUGCGGCCUGUUCCCUGGUGCAGCUCUGUACAUGGUGUUCUGAGCAGGAAGCCUCUCCACGAAACCAGGUAAGGACCUGAGGCUUCUCAUCAGUUCCAGUCCCCAGCAUCGCAGGGGCAAGUGUAUGGCUCAGCUCAUCUAGCCCCUGGCAUUGUUCUGGAAGCUCUGGGUGAGAGCUUUGCCAUGCCUGGGGGUCUGGGGGCUAUUUCAUCCAUCCCUCCACAUCACGGAAACAUUGCUUUUAAUUAGUCCUGAGAGAUGGACAUGCCACCUAGCCGUGCUGGCUGGGGAAUCCCUCUGUGAAAGAUACAAGUGACACCUAUGGAAGGUCUAAGAGAGUAAAAGAAAAUCCAGAAAGUGCUGCAAGCUGAAUUGUUCUAAAUUGCAGUAAAUACUCCGCAGCCUCUGAGGUUGGAGAGACACAGAGAGAAUCACUGUGUGCUCAGGUAAAGGAGGAAAUGUGGGACACUGAAAAGCCUAUUUGAUGGGGAAGAGCUGGUAACUGAGACAGGCAAUUCUGGAAAUGCUCAACCGGACCAGAAAACUCAAAACUACAGCUGGUAGAGAUCUUUGUGACAAAAACCCCUUUUCAUUGACAAACGGGACAUUUUGUGGGGACAAAUGAUUGCUGUAAAAUUUUUUCAUUUCUUGAUGACAUUUCAAAUGAAAAUUUUUGCAAGACUUUUUGAAAGUUCUGAAAAAUGUCACCAAAAAUGAUGGGCGGGAGAAGGGAAAGAGAAUCUUACCAAGAAGAAGGGGGGAAAAAAAGAAAAAUUUCCAAAAAUUGGUUAUACAAAACUUUGAUUCAAAUUUUUCAUGCCCCCCCACUAAAACAAAACCCAAACCAGAAUUUCUGAACCAAACAAAAAGUCUUCAUUUAAAAUAUACAUCUUGUGUGCAAGAAAAGAGGAUCAUUUGAGCAGCUGUAUUCAAACCAAUGUUUGCAAAGGUUGGAACAGUGGUUUCCUUCAGUCUGUGCUGUCUGCUGAGGGAGGCAAGCUAAUGAGAAGAGAAACCAUUCUGCUAGAGACGUGAUCAGGCAGCAAAUGUGCCCAUCUUGCCCAGGGAAAGUCUCAAAAUGUGAGGGGGAGAAAGGCAACAUGGGGUUCUCUGAGUCGAAGGUCCCUGUGUCUCUCACAGUCCUCAGUUAGCAACAAUCUCCAGUAAGUGCAGCUCUGCCGCACUAAUUCCAACCUGUGCAGCUGGGAUCCGCUUUCACUCAGGUCCUCACAUCCUCGAACUAGAGCUGGUUGAAAUUUUUCAAACAAAAAUUUUUCCCACCAAAAAGUGGGCUUUCAUUGAAAAAAUAUUUUUUUAAGUGGGAAAAUGGCAUUUUCAAUUAAAAUGAUCUGUUUUUACAAGAGGAACCUUCACAUCUUGGCCAAAAUUUACAUUUAAUUUUGAAUUGCAGUUUUUGGGGUUGGGUUUUCUUUUUUGAAACUCAAAAAGUUUUGAUUUUCAACUUUUGUUUCUCCUACACCUUUUUUUUAACUCUUCUCUUUCUUUUCCACUGAAAAAGGUGUGGGAGGGUCUGAGAAAAUGAGGAAAAAAGCCAUUUAUACCUACAAAAAAGUUCUCAAUUUCCCUCCGUAUUUUUGCCCACCCCCGCAUCUCUGCCGCCUUUUCCCUAAAUCCCCGACCUGAAAUUCAAAACUCCCAAACGUACGGCUUUUCAAAAAACAAAACUCAAUUUGAAACAAAAAUGUUCAGUUUGCUUAAAAAUUCCCCGUGAAAACUCAAAACAUGGAGCAUGAAUUGUUUUGUGCAAAAUCUGUUGGAAUAUUCAGACGUAGCCUUUGGGCUCAUGGAAGCUGUAUCAGACCCAAGCCCCCAGAAACCAAGAGUGGGAUAGAAGCAUCAGCCAUUGCUUCACCGUUGUAAUAGAAAAACCCUGGGAGACCAAUGAGGGACAUGCGACCAGAUUCGGCUCUAGCAUACAUGAGUGCAAUACUUGGGGAAGUAAAUAGGAGUUGUGUUUGCGUACAUAUACCACGCCUAGCUAGACAGACAGUCCCUAGGCACCUUCACUCAGCCACCGUUGGCCAGAUGAUCAUCUCUUCCCUCCCCAUCCAUUAAUAACGUCCGGUGCCAUUUCAAACAUAGGCUAACCAGGGACCUCUGAGUAUAUGAUUUAGUUGGGGUUGAUCCUGCGUUGAGCAGAGGGUUGGACUAGAUGACCUCCUGAGGUCCCUUCCAACCCUAAUCUAUGAUUCUAUGAAGACACACACAUGGGGUGCAAUCAUGGCCCCACUGAAAUUACUGGGAGUUCUGCAGUGGACUCAGCACUAACAUCACAGUAUUGUUCUUCAGAAAGUGGGUUUGAAUAAGAUCUGGCUGAAUAGCAAACAAACUGAUUCCUGAGCUUUUAACCCAGACACAAGCUCUGAGUCUGAUGCACUCUGGUUGGUGGGGUUAUGUUAUUUGCUGUCCAUUAACAGCUCUGAGCAACAGUUUUUGUUCAAAUCUUUUUUCAAGAAAAUAUAGCUGCUUUUCAAAACAAAAAUGUUCACAAAAAGCUUUGCAUAUUUUUGAAUUUUUCUGUUUUUUCAUUAAAACAAAAAUGUUUGGAAUUUUGAGGGGUCAUUGGGCAUUUAUUCCCCUUUUUCCCCCCUUUCCUUUUUGGCCACUGAAUGUAAUGAAUAAACAAAAAUAAAUAAAUAAAACUUGAAUGAUGUCCAGGUCCCCCCCCCCUCCAUUUUUGACACUCGAUAACUUUGCACAAAUGUUUUGAACUUAGGAAAAAGUACAGAAUGGCAAAAGGAAAAAUGAAGAAAAGAGGAAGAAAAAUCAAAAUGUAAAGAACCUCUCCAUCCCCACCCAGAACAAUGCUGAACAUCAUUCAUUCUAUUGCAAUGAGAAGUAAAACGGAAAAAGAAAAAAACUAAGUAUAAAAAGGCAAAAAACAAAAAUUCCUCAACAUUUUUCACAAAGAGUGUAACCACCCACGAGGCCCUGCCCCUUCCCCCAAGGCCCCGCCCCUGCUCCGCCUCUUCCCCCUAAGGCCCUGCCCCUUCUCUGACUCUUCCCUUGAGGCCCCGCCCCUUCUCUCCUUCCCCCAAGGCCCCGCUCCCAUCACUUGCUCCUCUCCCUCCCUCCCUCUAUCACUCGCUGGAUCAUCUCAAGCAGCCUGCCCGUAGGUAGGCGGCAGCCCAGGCUGAGCAAGGGCUGGCAUGGGUUAAUGACCCGGCGCCUCCCCCCACUCUGUGGUAACUGAACUUAUGGUUCAGGUACCAUUUAGGGUUUCCAGGUCCCCUUUUCAACUGGACUUUCCAGUCGAAAACCGUGCACCUGGCAAAGCCUAAAUGGCACCUGGACACAGAAGCCAAAAACAGACUGUCCAGGUAAAAUCCGUACAGCUGGCAACCCUACCUGCUAUUCAUUGCUAGGGUGACCAGAUGGUAACUUGAAAACAUCGGGACCGCCGCAGGGGGAGCGCCUUCAGCGGCAAUUCGGCAGAGGGUCCUUCAGUCGCUGACAGUCUUCGGCGGCAGGUAAUAAACCUUGCCACCAAAUACAGAAGUACCCACCGCCGAAAUGUCGCCGAAGACCGUCAGCGACUGAAGGCCCCUCCGCCGAAUUGCUGCCGAAGACCCGGACGGGUGAAUGUAAAAAAAA